rnacentral:rRNA from 1 species
CACGCAGGCGGAUAAUUAAGUGAGAUGUGAAAUCCCCGAGCUUAACUUGGGAAUUGCAUUUCAUACUGGUUAUCUAGAGUCUUGUAGAGAGGGUAGAAUUCCACGUGUAGCGGUGAAAUGCGUAGAGAUGUGGAGGAAUACCGGAGGCGAAGGCGGCCCCUUGGACAAAGACUGACGCUCAUGUGCGAAAGCGUGGGGAGCAAACA